rnacentral:rRNA from 1 species
AGUGAACGCUGGCGGUAGGCCUAACACAUGCAAGUCGAACGGCAGCACAGUAAGAGCUUGCUCUUACGGGUGGCGAGUGGCGGACGGGUGAGGAAUACAUCGGAAUCUACUUUUUCGUGGGGGAUAACGUAGGGAAACUUACGCUAAUACCUCAUACGACCUACGGGUGAAAGCAGGGGAUCUUCGGACCUUGCGCGAUUGAAUGAGCCGAUGUCGGAUUAGCUAGUUGGCGGGGUAACGGCCCACCAAGGCGACGAUCCGUAGCUGGUCUGAGAGGAUGUACAGCCACACUGGAAGUGAGACACGGUACAGACUCCUACGGGCGGCAGCAGUGGGGAAUAUUGGACAAUGGGCGCAAGCCUGAUCAAGCCACACCGCGUGGGUGAAGAAGGCCUUCGGGUUGUAAAGCCCUUUUGUUGGGAAAGAAAAGCAGCAGGUUAAUACCCCGCUGUUCUGACGGUACCCAAAGAAUAAGCACCGGCUAACUUCGUG